rnacentral:rRNA from 1 species
GAGUUUGAUCGUGGCUCAGGAUGAACGCUGGCGGCGUGCCUAACACAUGCAAGUCGAACGGAGUUUAUGAGGAAGAAGCUUCGGCGGAAUUCUUAUAAACUUAGUGGCGGACGGGUGAGUAACACGUGGAGAACCUGCCUCUUACCGGGGGACAGCAGUUGGAAACGACUGAUAAUACCGCAUAAGCGCACGAGACCGCAUGGUCCUGUGUGAAAAGAUUUAUCGGUAAGAGAUGGCUCCGCGUCUGAUUAGCCAGUUGGCGGGGUAACGGCCCACCAAAGCGACGAUCAGUAGCCGGCCUGAGAGGGUGAACGGCCACAUUGGGACUGAGACACGGCCCAGACUCCUACGGGAGGCAGCAGUGGGGGAUAUUGCACAAUGGAGGAAACUCUGAUGCAGCGACGCCGCGUGAGUGAAGAAGUAUUUCGGUAUGUAAAGCUCUAUCAGCAGGGAAGAAAAACCUCGAAAGAGGGGAUGACGGUACCUGAGUAAGAAAGCCCCGGCUAACUACGUGCCAGCAGCC